CCAGACCUGACUUAACUUUACUCCAGAACCCUUUCCUUGUUCCUCUCGCUCUAUCCCAUCUCUUACUGCCUGUCGAACCUGAACUGGGGGCCUUAGAACCCGAAGCCUGUGCCUUUGACUGUUUCUGAAUAUUGGCACUAGCUUCCAUCUUCCUGGCUGCAUCUAUAAUAGAGUGAAAACUUUCCUUUUCUGCUGGAAGGAUCA
rnacentral:lncRNA from 1 species